rnacentral:rRNA from 1 species
UACGGGGGGGGUAAGCGUUGUUCGGAAUUACUGGGCGUAAAGGGCUCGUAGGCGGCCAACUAAGUCAGACGUGAAAUCCCCAGGCUCAACUUGGGAACUGCGUCUGAUACUGGAUGGCUUGAAUUCGGGAGAGGGAUGCGGAAUUCCAGGUGUAGCGGUGAAAUGCGUAGAUAUCUGGAGGAACACCGGUGGCGAAGGCGGCAUCCUGGACCGAGAUUGACGCUGAGGCGCGAAAGCCAGGGGAGCAAACGGG